rnacentral:rRNA from 1 species
GGCGGACGGGUGAGUAAUACUUAGGAAUCUACCCAUGUAGUGGGGGACAACUCCGGGAAACCGGAGCUAAUACCGCAUAAGCCCUACGGGGGAAAGCAGGGGAUCUUCGGACCUUGCGCUAUUGGAUGAGCCUAAGUCAGAUUAGCUUGUUGGUGGGGUAAAAGCCUACCAAGGCGACGAUCUGUAGCUGGUCUGAGAGGAUGAUCAGCCACACUGGGACUGAGACACGGCCCAG